rnacentral:rRNA from 1 species
AAGCUAAUCUCAAACUAGGACCGAGUCUUGCUUGCGACCGCCGUACGGAUUGUGUACGUUCAGCUUGCUACGAAAGCCCGUAUCACCGCGUGCCCACGCAUUGCGCACCCUUAGACGGGAAUCCAAGCCUUAUUGUCAAUCUUUACUGACGAUUAUGGCCUACUACUGCAAUUCAGGUUUCUAAAUAGCGGACUCCUACUCGGGCGCAUCCUAAUCGAUCAACCACACCAUUUCCGCGUGGUUCCGCUGCUAGGAAUCGACCAGGCUCUCCUACUAGUCGGUGUGACCCUGACUCUGUGCCGGGUCUGAGAUGCCCUCCGUCGUCACCCCUUAUAACCUGUUACCCCCGUUGGGACUAGGUCGGUACGGCGCACUCACUACUGCCGGAAUCCCAACAUUUCGAGAAAAGAGGCCCUGCUAUUACUGGCAUGGCCCUCUUAUUCGAGGCCGAUUGAGGCACGGUCGUCGGCGCCAUUAUGCCUCCCUCGAUCGCAACAAGCCUUAAUGACCCGCAUUUCGCGUGCAUCCGCCGAAACAUUCAGUCUCCACUUUCGGACCUCGAGUUGAGGUCUUGACGGAAACUCUGACGUAGCGAACUUAGGCCCUCUCCACUCACCUUAAGGCUCACAUCUCCACUUUAAGCAUCUAUAAGCCUUCUUGUGGUCACCGCUUCCGCCGAGUGACCUGGCCAUAACUGCGACUCCACGCUUUCGCACCCCUCGUUUGUCCUAAUCUAUGGGACCAUCAGUUAGUGAUCACUUAAGCGCCGGCGGACGUCCAGCUGGUAUACCCUCUC